CGACGUUUUCGGCAACAAAAUCGUCUGGGGCUGUUACUACUCCAGUUUCAGCUUCGUAGACCAACCAAUACUCGAUGAGUUCGUUUAGAAUAUCUGGAUGGACUUUCGCUAGAUUUUCAAGCUCACCUUUGUCCUGGGAAAGAUCAUACAGCUCCCAUUCUGUUUUUAUUCCUUCUUUAGGUACAUAUAUUGCCUUAUAAUUUCCUUUUCUGAUAGCUCUUUGCCCGAAAAGUUCCCAGCCGCUAAAGUCAGUAUCUUUGUGUACGGGUUUUCCAUGCACAAAAUGGUCAAUCCAAGGUUUCCCACGGGGGAUUACAACAUCUCGUCCUUGAAAUUUGUGCCCUGGGUGAGGGACUUCUGCUAACUCAAGGAUGGUUGGCAGGAUAUCCAUAACCGUAACAAACUCAUCGGAGAUGAUGUCUGGCUUGAUCAAUGGAGGAUAGCGAAUUAUAGCAGGACAUCGAAUACCACCUUCUGUAAUAAAACCCUUGCUAAGUCGAGAAGGAGCGGUCGCAGCCUGUGCCCAUCUUGGUCCGUACCAAAUAAAUGAAUUAUAAUUACCCAAGUUUUCCAGUGAAUUGUCAAAAUACUUAACCGGUGGUUUUGUGCUUAAUACCGGGAUUGCUUCCAAAACUGACCCUUCUGCACCGUUGUCUGACAUAAAUAUAACAAAUGUGUUGUCAAGUUCUCCAAUAGUUUUCAAGUAGUCAAUAACACGACCAAUAUUCAAAUCUAAUAAUUCGACCAUUGCAGCAUAAACUUCCAUCGUUCGCGCAGAAAAUUCUUUCUCUUCUGUUGUUAGUUCGUCCCAUGACUUGGUUCCCAUUCCAUCUACAGGUGCUGGAAUUACAUUUUCUGGUAUAAGUCCCAAAUCCUUUUGGGCUUGCAAGCGAUUUUUUCGUAACACAUCGGGGCCUUCACUAUAUCGUCCACGAUAUUUAUUAAUAUAUUCUUUUGGUGAUUGCAACGGCCAAUGAGGUGCUGUAAAUGGGAGGUAAGCAAAAAAUGACUGGGAUUUUUCACGAUUUUUUAACUGAUCAAUUAAUUUUUCUGCAAAGUAAUUGGACGAAUAAAAAUUUUUUAAGCUUUUGUGAUCAACAGGAUCAUGAUUGUGGGUAUACAAUGGUGGUAAAAAAGGUACAGCAGGGUUUUCUCUAGUACCAGGUUCAUAUGCAAAAUGAUUACCACCUCCAGGUAAAAGUGCAAAAGAUUCUUUAAAUCCUCGCUUUGAAGGGUAACGAUCUGGGGUUAGUCCAAGGUGCCACUUUCCAGACAUUGUGGUAUAGUAACCCGCUUCCUGUAGAAUCUCUGGUAAUGCAGCAACUCUAUCAUUUAGGUAGCCUUCGUACCCAGGCUUUCCACCCCAUACUUUCGAAAACCUGCGUACUGUCUCUGCCAUUUGCCCUAAACCUGCUAUGUGAUUGUCUGUACCGCUUAAUAACAUAGAUCGAGUAGGCGAGCAAGCAGAGGCUGUAUGAAAGUUUGUCAACCGUACACCUUCCUUUGCAAGCCUCUCAAUAUUUGGAGUGUGUAUUUCACUUCCAAACGGAGAAACAUCUGACCAUCCAAGAUCGUCAGCUACGAUGACCAAAAAGUUUGGUUUUUUAGAUUCAGCUUGUUUAUUAAAAGCCAUAGUUACUAUUCAAAUUUUUUUUGAUUGCGAAUAAAUUUUUAUGCAGCUCAAACUGUAAUUUUUAUUUUAUGUUCAUAAAGGGCAUGUGAGACAAGAG
rnacentral:lncRNA from 1 species